UUCCUCAUAGCUCAGUUGGUAAAGAAUAUGCCUGCAGUGCAGGAGACUCCAGUUUGAUUCUGGGUCAGGAAG
rnacentral:tRNA from 1 species